UUACAUGAAUUGGAUUGUCGAUACAAAUU
rnacentral:sRNA from 1 species